CCUACGGGAGGCAGCAGUGAGGAAUAUUGGUCAAUGGCCGGAAGGCUGAACCAGCCAUGCCGCGUGAAGGUCAGUGCCCUAUGGGCGUUAAACUUCUUUUGUCCGGGAGCAAUAAUGGUCACGUGUGGCCACACGAGAGUACCGUUCGAAUCAGCAUCGGCUCACUCCGUGCCAGGAGCCGCGGUAAUACGGAGGCUCCGAGCGUUAUCCGGAUUUAUUGGGUUUAAAGGGUGCGUAGGCGGUGUGAUAAUGUAGAGGUGAAAGGUCGGGGCUCAACCCCGAAAAUGCCUCUAAUACUGUUGGACUAGAGAAUAGUUGCGGUAGGCGGAAUGUAUGGUGGAGCGGUGAAAUGCUUAGAGAUCAUAGAGAACACCGAUUGGGAAGGCAGCUUACCAGACUAAAACUGACGUUGAGGGACGAAAGCGUGGGGAGCAAACAGGAUUAGAUACCCGGGUAGUC
rnacentral:rRNA from 1 species